rnacentral:rRNA from 1 species
UACGUAGGGUGCAAGCGUUAUCCGGAAUUAUUGGGCGUAAAGAGCGCGCAGGCGGUCGGAUCAGUCGAAUGUGAAAGCCCCCGGCUCAACUGGGGAGGGUCAUUCGAUACUGUCCGACUCGAAGGCAGGAGAGGGAAGCGGAAUUUCCGGUGUAGUGGUGAAAUGCGUAGAUAUCGGGAGGAACACCAGUGGCGAAGGCGGCU